rnacentral:lncRNA from 1 species
AAGGCUGUUUCUAUGUGUGCUUCACUGCAAGCCUAGUUGGCUAUAGAUGUUACCUCCCUGUGCAGGAUGUGGUGACAGGGAUGGAAUGAAGGGUGCAGGAUGUGCAAUGAAGGAUGAAGCUAUAGUCUAAGGAAAGGAACCUGAGAUUUAUGUUGUCAUGAGGAGGGAAUAGGAACACUCCUGACCUGAUGCUGUGGGACUCUGGAGGUGGAUGCCUAGGGCAACCCACACAAAUAGCUUUCUCAUUAAAUGCACGUGUGUUCCUUGCUUGUACAUCAAUUGCAGUUCUGUAAGAGUCACAGGGUGAUUGCAACAGAAUAUUUUUGUGAGUAUUCAUCCAAAAUUUAGUAUGGUUCAUUUGGUGACAGCACCAGUAGCCUCAUUUCUUUUCUGUGAUUGUUUUGCAGAAGAACAAGAGCAAUCAUUUAAAUAAUGAACUUUAAACUAAUAGUGUAGCUUACCUGUGUUCUGCAAGGUCACUCAUUUGUACUCACCUGACUGGAAAGCAGAAAGAACCAGGAGAGCCUGGUCAAGAUCCACAGAGCCAUUUAUUGAUUUUUUUUCAGCCUUUAUUCACAAAAUACUUCAACAAAUCUUAUAUUUUUGGUCUCCGUUUUGCUAAUUGCAUGUGACUAUGAGUAGGCUGAGUCUUACAGGGUCGAAAGUCAUAAUGUAGAUUAAUUAUCAUUAUGAUUACUAAGGUUAUAUAAGUAUGCAUACAAGGACCAUGUUUAGAAGCACAGUACUUGCAGUCAGAUUUCCAGCGUGAUCAUUGCCAUAGUGAUUUUUAUUUGGUCAUAUAAAUUGUAAAAAGCCCCAGAUAGAAAUGGAAUGUCUUCAUUUUUAACCUCUGAAGGUAUUUUGAUUGAUUUUUCAACACAUUAACUGUUGUGGUUGCGCUUACUCUUUUUUUGUCCACGUUUUGGACUAUGAUGUAUUCCAAAACCAUAAAAUUUACUGAAGAAGCUUUAGUUUGGUGUGACCUAAGGGGCAGUCUUACAAAAUGCAUGAAUUCACGUUCCUCAUUACUUAUUAGCCAUUAAUCUAAAAUAUCCCCUUCAGGAUCUAUCUGAUGAAGUGUGAAGUAAAAUGGUAUUAUAUGGUUAUACCUCUUAAUAACUGAAACUUUAAUGUAUACUUUAAAAUGAAAAGAAUAAACAAGA